GCGGCAGUCAGCCUCGAGCUGCAGCGCGGUGUGGGUGUGUUCUUUCCUCAUUCUAUCUCUGUAGAGCGAUUCACGAAGCCGGUUAGCUUUUAGACGAGACAGUGUGUGCGUUGACCUUUGACAUUUUUCCUCUUUUCUAUCUUCAUUGACAAAGAACUCGACCUACGGCUCCUCGUGAGAAAGAUUCAUUUUAUAUCCUUUUUUAUAUCUAAUCAUAUCGAGGAGCUUCUCGCCUUCCCAUUUUUCAUCUGAUGGUUCGAGAACACUGUGUCAAGGUCGCUGAUAGAACGGACUUUGGCCUCUUUGUGAACUCGGAGCAUGGAAAAUGAAUUUUUAAAACGUUUCUGCUCCUCGUUGUCUUCAUCGUUGUCUUUGUCGUCUUCGUUAUUUUCGCGGUCGUCAACGUCGUUGGUGUAAACAGAAGUUGAUGCGUACUCCUCUAUGUGCGCGACUAUCUACGGAGUAUCGUGUAUGCUUCUUUUAGAUAAAUAAUACGCAAUUACUACGCAUCUUGUGCCAUUGUCCUCACCUCUCCUUUUCCUCUUUUGGGAUCUGGUACACGGUUUCAAGGUCGACAAUCUCACGGAGUGAACGAUCGGAGUUCUUUCGCGGGAAUAGCGCGAUCUGUGACUCCAGAUAGAGAUCGGAUUGAAUCAGCUGGACCAAAUAAGAGGAAAAUAAAGAAAAAGACAGAGAGAGAGAGAGAGAGAGAGAGAGAGAGAGAGAGAGAGAGAGAGAGAAAGGAAGAGGAGUUGCAUAGACUUUGUUCCGAUUUACGAAGAUGUGACAAUGACCAUCGUCAUUUUCGUCGCUGCAACGACGCUAUUGCAUUGUUUAUUAAAGCUUCUUGAUGAUGACGUAGUUAUUAACAUAAGGACAACUUGGGAACUUUGGAUUUAGUCAACGAAGAAUAUUUUGAUUACGACGGAAACGAAACAAAAGGAAAGGAAAACGGCAACUUUAUUCCGCAAUGGAAUAUUUUCCUUUCUUUAUUAAUCCUUUCAUUUUCCGUUCAAUGUCACAUGAAAAUCAUUGAAGAGAGAUCGAUCGUACAAGUGCUCGCAGUCAAGAACGAACAUGACAAAGAAUGAGAAUAGGUUUUUCUUCUGUAGUUGUUUGCAACGACGACUUUCUAACGACGUGUAGUAAGCUCCAAAAAGAGAAAAAAGAAAGAAAAAAAUGUGGUCCCAACAACAACUACAACAACAACAACAACAACAACAACAACCACAACAACCACAACAACAACAACCACAACAACAAAAACAACAGCUUCAGCAACAGCAGCAGCAACCACGGACUUACUUGAGAGGAUUUGCCUUUCAACAUCCACAGCAACAGAACGUUCAUCUCGGUAUCGUCGGUGUCGACGAUACGCCGCAGCAUCAGCAAGACCAUCAUCAGCUUCAACAUCAUCUGAGGGGAUCGAGUGGCAUGGAUCUACCGUUGUCAAGUAAUCCGCGUGCUUCACGAAAUAUGGCGGAGAAACAACGCCGAGAUAAUCUUAACACCAAUAUCUCGACGAUGGCGGCUCUCGUUCCUACCGUCGCCGGAAGUUCGAGAAGGAUGGACAAGAUAUCUAUCCUGAGAUUAACUGCUGCCUAUUUAAGAACGCAAUACACUCUUGGUCGUGGAUCGGCCAAUUUCCUGCCAAAGAAAUUCAACAAUUUGGACGUGGAACAAUUCUUUGUAGAUAAAUCAUUUUUAUUGCUUCGACAGAACUUAAUCGGCAAUGUUGGUUUCUUCAUUGUCGUAACUACGGCAGGAAAGAUCGUUUACGUUAGCCGGCAGGUGGAACGUCAACUUGGUCACGCUCAGAAAGAAUUAACGGGACAAUCUUUGUAUCACUUCGUUUAUCCUGAGGAUCACAAGGAGUUAACGAAAAAUUUAACGCCCGACGAAAUGCAACCGAUGGUCGGUAGUUCGACCACGGACGUCGAUAACAGUUCCAAUUCCUCCGAGGAGUCAACCCCGACGACGUCGACGUCGCAAAGAAACACCGAGAGGAGGUCUUUUCGCGAACAGAGACGGAAUUUCAAAUUGCGAAUGUCACAACGGACAGUUUCGAGACGAGAACAUACGCAGUAUGAGUGUCUACAUGUGUCGGGGGUUCUUAGGCUCGCGGAUGCUUGUAAAAAUGUUGACAAUCGUGCACGACAUCGAGAGACUACAUCGACAAGCAACGACAUCAUAUUCGUCGGUAUGGCAUGGAUACCCAAGAAACGUCCUAUCACCGAAAUCUCCAUAAUAGAUGCUAAUAAACAAGAAUACGUGACGCGACACUUGGUGGACGGUCGUAUUAUUUACUGCGAUCAUAGGAUAUCUAUUGUGGCAGGUUACCUAUCCGAGGAGGUUUCAGGUUUAAGCGCUUUCAGUUUUAUGCACAAGGACGACGUUAGAUGGACCAUCAUUGGACUUCGCCAAAUGUACGAUCGUGCAGAACCUUGCGGUUCAUCCUGCUAUAGGCUUCUUUCGAAAACUGGUGAGUUCAUAUACCUAAGGACCCAUGGAUAUUUGGAAUACGACAAAAAUACUCAAACCGUUGAAUCGUUUAUCUGCAUCAAUACCCUAGUCUCAGAAGAAGAAGGUAUUGAAUUCGUAAGAGAAAUGAAGGAAAGAUUUUCAGCUACGGUGUCUGGUGCUACGAAGGCGGUUAUGAUUCAAAAUAACGACGACCUUUCGUUCGAUCUGGGAUCGGAGUCACAAAAAUCGAACUCCAAAGCUAGCCUGGAAGAUCCUUCGCAGUUAGAGGAUGCGAUCACCCACCUCAUCAGCGAUUUACCUUCACCUGCUGUUUCAGAAGAUCGUUCUUCUCCAUCACCAAUGCCUAACGCUCAAUUCGCCAAAGCGGCCGUUUUUUCUCAAAGAUUACCACCGGCAGCUGCGCAAGCAAGCAAAUUCGGUAUUAAGAAGAUCGAUCACAAUUUCACGAUACAAGGUAAUAAAGGUAAUCUUACGUUAAAACAAGAACCACGAAUUGAAGUAAAACAAGAACUUCAGGCGAUCGAUAACAAAAUGGUUGCUGAUUCUAUCAUUAAGAAAGAAAUCAUAUCGGAUGGACAACAACGAAACGUUGGAAGAAAAAAAAAUCAGGAUCGUAAUAAUAUUGGCUCAUUGAGUUCAGGAAAACCUUUGAGUAUGAAGGAAAUGAUGGGACAAGUGGAAGUUAUGCGACAGGAAAAUCGUAAUAACGAAAGCACCAAGACUAAGGUCUUACCCGAACGUAAUGCAUCCGAAACGAAAGUUCUAAAGAAUAACAGCAGCGAGACUAGGCUCGAAAAUGUAGGAAAUGGCAAGAGCGAGUCCGAGGAUGAAGAGUCUAGGAAAAAAUAUUCUUCAAAGAGGAUAUACGUUGAUGAAGAAAACGUUGGAGGAACAGGGCGUAGUAAUAAAAAGCGAAGAAAUGAAAAACGAUAUGAAAUUACUGAAAUUCAACUCGAACAACAACAACAACAGCAGCAACAGCAACAGCAGCAACAGCAACAGCAACAACAACAACACCGUCAUCACCAACAACAAAAACAACAGCAACAUCAACAAAGUGCUCCUUAUGUUAAUUGUAGGACGUUUAUCAAGGAAGAACAGUUAUCACCGCUCGCUGAUUUUGAUCAUUAUGGUCAGGUUCACACUCAACCGAUUCGGAUUAUAUCCACGGACUCUCCGAAUUCUAGUCUUCAAGACGUUAACAUCGAGUAUCAAGAAUUAGAUUCAUCUACACCGUUGGUGAUCUCGAAUAUGGUCGAUGACGAACAAUUUGGCGAUUUUCAAGAACUCAAGGAAGAACCAUUAUUAAGCUCGAGCCUGGACGCAAAUCCAGAUUUCAUGCUGAAGAUAUUCGAUGAUCUACGGCCUGCAAUGGGUUUCGAAAAAAGCUUCGAUGAUAUGAACGUGCAACAGCUGACAAUCAAUAACCAGCAAGCGGUUAACGAUGAGAUAAGAAGGACACAUCUGCAACUUGCGAGUAGUAUGGUCAUACGAGAGUCCCAAUUCGAUGUAUUGGCGCGCGAUUUGGAUAAUCCAGCUUUGCAAGCUCAAAGAAAAAAUUUAACCCAAUUACAGGUAAUGUCUUACAUCGAUUGCAGGCUGAACAUAAAAUGCAAAAACAAAUCCUAAAGUCUUUACAACAAGAUCAUCGCAACAUACAAGUCAAUGCGAAACACAAUAUUGGCGUUUAAAAUGUGCAACGCAUGCAUAAUAUAUGCCUACAUAACUUUGUAUGUUAAAGAAAAGAAAAAGCAACGAUGAUCGACGUAUGUGCAAUAUGCAUUGAAUUGCACCUCCAUGAAUAUUAUACUUUUUAAAUUUUGAAGAGACAACGUGUAAACCGAUAAAGAGGAUUGCUAACUUUUGAGGAAGCGUCAGGGUUGCGUCUAACCGAUUUUCGCGAGAGGAUCAAGUACUAUACGUAGAAAAAGGAAGAGGUAGAGGAAUAAGAAGAAAAAGUUCACGUCAAAAGCUAAUUUAAUGUACUACGUUGGUGCUAGAGAUUCGAAUUGAAGACCUUUUUUCAAUCGAUUCCGUGAGUGCUUACGACUGUGAAAAAUAGUUAUUAGUUAUAAUAAAAAUAAACAAUCGUUCGUUCGACACGAGGACAAAAAAUAAGUGAAACGAACGAUCGAGUGUUAUGUAAUGUUAACUAUUUUCAAAUUUUACGAUAAAAACAUUGUAGAUAGUAUGGUAGCUGUUUCGAAACAACAUUAGAUCGAACGAGGUAGAGAAAGGGAGAGAAGAAGAUAAAAAGAGACGGUUAAUCUUUGUUUUCUGUCUCGAACAGAAAUAAUAACUCCCCUCACAAAUCAGACGUUAAGAUAUACAUAAAGACGAAAUUAUCAAUAUCUCGUUCAAAACCAAUUAAGAAAAAAAAACAAAAAAAAACAAAAAAAAAAAAACAAAAAAAAAGAAACAAACAAAAAAAGCAAAAAAAAAAGAACAAAAAAAGAACAAAAAAAAGAAAAAAAAAGAACUUUUUAUCUGUAUUUCAUGUCAGACUGUGUGUUAAGUGUUCAAUCUCUUUAAAAAGGUGUACUAUUUUAGAUUUUAUUAGUAUUUUAAUAUUAUCAUUAUGAUCAAUAUUGUACUAUAUUAGUACUGCUUUUUAUGUGAUCAUACAUUUUGUGUGUGUGUGUAUGUAUGCAUGCAUGUAUGUAUGUUUGUAUGUAUGUAUGUAUGUAUGUAUGUAUGUAUGUAUGUAUAUGUACAUAAAAUAGAAAAAGAAAAAUGAAAGCGAGGAGAACAGAUCGCUGUUCGAUUUAUACAUGAUUAUUGUACAUAAAAUUCAAUUUUUGCGCUACAAUCCACAUGAAUUUUAUAAACAACUAUUUAUAAAAAGUUUUACCUGCUAGACUUAAUAGUUAUCUCAACCGUUUGAGCGGCAGAAGAUUGGGCCGUUAUAAUUUUAACUGAAAUUUCCCCUUCCAAUCCUCAUUUUUCUCUUCUUUUUUUCUCCCCGUUAAAAUCAAGCAAAAGCUCGUCUAGUGAAUUAAUUUUGCUAAUAAUUAUUGUUUCAUUGAAAGAUGUAUUGUAACGAGCACGAUCAUACUUUUCAAAGAUAUUUAUUUUCGAUGACUCUUGCCACUCAAUGGUUUAAAUUAAAGGGAAAUAAAAAAAGAAAAAAAAGUUUUAGUAAGAUUUUUCAAGUCCAACUUAUCUUCGAAUCAAACGGGAGAUCGUUUACCUCGUUCUUUUUUCUUUUUAAAUAAACAUAAUACAAGUUACAAGUUUCAGAGUACAAUAGAAAUAUCUGUAAAUUACUUCUCCGAGUGAUUUACCGAUAAUGGAUUGCGAAUUACGUCGGCGACUGGUAUCCUUCUUUUUUUCUUUUUUCCUAUUUUUCUUUUUUUUCUUUUGCCUUUAAACUAGUAGCUAGUAUCCACAACAAAACUUAGUACACCUUUUUACAAAUUAUUACAUAUUCCGAUUGUCCGUUGUUCGAGUUUUAUUUUCUUUUCGUCUUUUUUUUUAUCUUAAAACAAUUAAAAGCGAAAUACAGUAAAGAGCAGAAAAAAAAUGAAUGGAGAGCGUAAUGUGCAAUGUUAUAAUAAUUAGAGCGGAACGAAAGAUUUUAUUUUCUUUUUUUGGAAAAAUGGGUUACUCUACCCUCCCUCCCAUCGGUAUGUUUUCAAACGAGAGAAAAGAUAAAAAAAAAAGAAAGAAAAUACUUUUCCGAACGCCCUCUUUCCUAGCCAGCCAACCGAAAUGAAAGAAAGAAAGAAAGAAAGAAAGAAAGAAAGAAAGAAAGAAAGAAAGAAAAAUUAUUCUCUCUGAUGUUAUAGUACAAAACGUCCGAACGUCCAAACUAUCUAUGUUCGAUAUAAUCCCGCAGCUCUCUGUAACGUCAUAUUCCUAUAUACCUUGCCCCUCUCAUCUUCUUCGAGCCCACUCUACUUUUUACUCUAUGUUUACGUAUUGUUGUAAAUGUAAUGGUCAUAUGACAAUUAGACAAAUUUUUGAUGUAUUUUUGUGACUUUGAAGAAAGCUAUAAAUAGGCUUGAUUUGCUGUCGCCUUUACUGUUGAAUUAUUACUAUUAUUGUUCUUCGUUGAAAAGAAGAAGAAGAAAAAGGAAAGAAAGAAAAA